GGACGGGUGAGUAAUGUCUGGGAAACUGCCUGAUGGAGGGGGAUAACUACUGGAAACGGUAGCUAAUACCGCAUAACGUCGCAAGACCAAAGAGGGGGACCUUCGGGCCUCUUGCCAUCAGAUGUGCCCAGAUGGGAUUAGCUAGUAGGUGGGGUAACGGCUCACCUAGGNGACGAUCCCUAGCUGGUCUGAGAGGAUGACCAGCCACACUGGAACUGAGACACGGUCCAGACUCCUACGGGAGGCAGCAUG
rnacentral:rRNA from 1 species